rnacentral:lncRNA from 1 species
CCCGCAUCAGGGAUACCCUCCUCAAGGCUACCCACCACCACCAGGGGCGUACCCGCCUCCCCCUGGAGCGUAUCCUCCUCCACCCGGGGCUUACCCCCCUCCACCCGGGGCAUACCCACCACAGCAUGGGUACCCUCAACCAGGUGGUUACCCGCCACACGGUGGCUAUCCCCCUGCUGGUUAUCCGGGCUCGUCUCACCAGGGUAUGAAUUGCUCUUCCAUUCUAUGCUUAGCUUUUAAAAGUACAGAGUCAUCAGAAUGGAUAGCAAUAGCAUUCCUACUGAACUCCAUCAAGUACUUGUGCUUUUUUUGUUUCCAAAUAAAAAAUGGUAUUGGCUCAUUACAUUGAGUUUUGGAUCUUGUGGAUUGCUUCUUGUUCCUAAUCAUGCUAUGCUGCAAGAAACAAUUAAGCUGAUCAGUAACGCAUCGACUUUGGUAUGAUGAAAUAGUUCUAGCUCUGUUGUGUUGGAUUGCGCUUUAUUCCUAAUUACAUAAUUGUUCUGUACUUGUCUCCAAAAGGUGCACCAACUUUGAUUUCAUUAUCUGACAAGCAGCUACCAUUGUGAUUUCAGAAAUCUGUAGUCCUAUUGCGUCAAAUCAGCCAAAUGGUGAAGCUCAUUUCAUGCUAAUGGGAUAUUGUGGUUGCAGGUCAUGGAGGCAGCCAUGGGGGCAGCCAUGGUGGCUUAGGGAUGGGUACGGUUCUAGCUGGGGGCGCCGCCGCAGCUGCAGCUGCAUAUGGAGCACACAAGCUUUCUCAUGGGCAUAGCGGACACGGUGGGCAUGGGGUCUUUGGAGGCUAUGGCCAUGGAGGUCACGGCUUUGGCGGCCACGGCAAGUUCAAGCACGGCCACGGCCACCACGGCAAGUUCAAGCAUGGGCACGGCAAAUUCAAGCAUGGCAAGCAUGGGCACGGCAUGUUCGGUGGCAAGUUCAAGAAGUGGAAGUGAUGUGCUCCCAGUGGUUGAUCAUACUAAACUCCUAUGCAGGCUUCCAGAACUUCUGUUGUCCGGAAUGCCUCUGCGAUGUAUUUAGCAGGGUGAUUGUUCAUCCUUCAUCUAUAUGUUUGGUGGGGU